rnacentral:rRNA from 1 species
UACAGAGGUCUCAAGCGUUGUUCGGAUUUCAUUUGGGCGUAAAGGGUGCGUAGGCGGCGCGGUAAGUCGGGUGUGAAAUCUUUGGAGCUUUAACUCCGAAACUGCAUUCGAUACUGCCGUGCUUGAGGACUGGAGAGGAGACUGGAAUUUACGGUGUAGCGGUGAAAUGCGUAGAUAUCGUAAGGAAGACCAGUGGCGAAGGCAGCUCUCUGGGUCCCU